UGCCAGCCGCCGCGGUAAUACGGAGGGUCCGAGCGUUGUCCGGAAUUAUUGGGUUUAAAGGGUACGUAGGCGGAUUAAUAAGUCAAAGUUGAAAUCCUGCAGCUUAACUGUAGAACUGGCUUUGAAACUGUUGAUCUUGAGUAUGGUAGAGAUAGGCGGAAUUUAUAAUGUAGCGGUGAAAUGCAUAGAUAUUAUAAAGAACACCGAUAGCGAAGGCAGCUUGUUGGACCAUAACUGACGCUAAUGUACGAAAGUGCGGGUAUCGAACAGGAUUAGAUA
rnacentral:rRNA from 1 species